UACAGAGGUCUCAAGCGUUGUUCGGAUUCAUUGGGCGUAAAGGGUGCGUAGGCGGCGCGGUAAGUCGGGUGUGAAAUCUCGGAGCUUAACCUGGGAACUGCAUUUGUGACUGGCGGGCUAGAGUAUGGCAGAGGGGGGGUAGAAUUCCACGUGUAGCAGUGAAAUGCGUAGAGAUGUGGAGGAAUACCGAUGGCGAAGGCAGCCCCCCUGGGCCAAUACUGACGCUCAUGCACGAA
rnacentral:rRNA from 1 species